rnacentral:rRNA from 1 species
AGAAAGUGAAGUGGGGAACUGUUGCUGGCCUCUGUAUGACAGAGAGCAUGUGCACGUCAAUAGCUUUCUCUUUCUCUUUCUCUUUCUCUUUCUCGUUCGUAAAUUUGAUACUCACACCUGUGCACCAUGGUAGACCGCCUUUGGAAGAAGGGGGUCUAUGUUUAUUAUAUUUAUGAUCUCGAUUGUCGUAUGGACAUAGAAUGAUAAAUGGUUAUGAAUAUGAUACAACUUUCAGCAACGGAUCUCUUGGCUCUCGCAUCGAUGAAGAACGCAGCGAAUUGCGAUAAGUAAUGUGAAUUGCAGAUUUCCAGUGAAUCAUCGAAUCUUUGAACGCACCUUGCGCUCCUUGGUAUUCCGAGGAGCAUGCCUGUUUGAGUGUCAUUAAGUUCUCAACCAUGUCUUGAAUUGAUUUUCGAGUACACGGCUUGGAGAUGGGGGUUGCUGGGCCCGAUUUAUGCCCAGAGAUGGGUUUAUCAGGUUCAGCUCUCCUGAAAUGCAUUAGCAAAAUGGAUGGCUAGUCUUUGGAUGUGCAGCAUGGCCCCAGACGUGAUAAUGAUCGUCGUCGUGGCUG